GAUGAACGCUGGCGGCGUGCCUAAUACAUGCAAGUCGAGCGAACGGACGAGAAGCUUGCUUCUCUGAUGUUAGCGGCGGACGGGUGAGUAACACGUGGAUAACCUACCUAUAAGACUGGGAUAACUUCGGGAAACCGGAGCUAAUACCGGAUGAUAUUUUGUACCGCAUUGUUCAAAAGUGAAAGACGGUCUUGCUGUCACUUAUAGAUGGAUCCGCGCUGCAUUAGCUAGUUGGUAAGGUAACGGCUUACCAAGGCGACGAUGCAUAGCCGACCUGAGAGGGUGAUCGGCCACACUGGAACUGGGACACGGUCCAGACUCCUACGGGAGGCAGCAGUAGGGAAUCUUCCGCAAUGGGCGAAAGCCUGACGGAGCAACGCGGCGUGAGUGAUGAAGGUCUUCGGAUCGUAAAACUCUGUUAUUAGGGAAGAACAUAUGUGUAAGUAACUGUGCACAUCUUGACGGUACCUAAUCAGAAAGCCACGGCUAACUACGUG
rnacentral:rRNA from 1 species